CUCCGGUUGAUCCCGCCGGACCUGACUGCUAUCGGAUUGGUACUAAGCCGUGCGAGUCGUUGUAGCAAUACAAGGCGGACGGCUCAGUAACACGUAGUCAACCUAACCUAUGGACGUGGAUAACCUCGGGAAACUGAGAAUAAACCGCGAUAGAUCAUUAUGCCUGGAAUGGCUUAUGGUUCAAACAAUUUAUUGCCGUAGGAUGGGACUGCGGCCUAUCAGCUUGUUGGUGAGGUAAUGGCCCACCAAGGCUAUAACAGGUACGGGCUCUGAGAGGAGAGGCCCGGAGAUGGGUACUGAGACACGGACCCAGGCCCUAUGGGGCGCAGCAGGCGAGAAACCUUAGCAAUGUGCGAAAGCACGACUAGGUUAAUCCGAGUGAUUUCUGUUGAAGAAAUCUUUUGUCAGUCGUAAAACCACAGACGAAUAAGGGGUGGGCAAGUCUGGUGUCAGCCGCCGCGGUAAUACCAGCACCUCGAGUGGUCAGGAGGUUUAUUGGGCCUAAAGCAUCCGUAGCCGGCUACGCAAGUCUCCGGUUAAAUCCAGCUGCUCAACAGAUGGGCUGCCGGAGAUACUACAUAGCUAGGGAGCGGGAGAGGUAGACGGUAUUCUGUGGGUAGGGGUAAAAUCCACUGAUCCAUAGAGGACCACCAGUGGCGAAGGCGGUCUACCAGAACGCGUUCGACGGUGAGGGAUGAAAGCUGGGGGAGCAAACCGGAUUAGAUACCCGGGUAGUCCCAGCUGUAAACGAUGCAAACUCGGUGAUGCAUUGGCUUAUGGCCAAUGCAGUGCCGCAGGGAAGCCGUUAAGUUUGCCGCCUGGGAAGUACGGACGCAAGUCUGAAACUUAAAGGAAUUGGCGGGGGAGCA
rnacentral:rRNA from 1 species